rnacentral:misc_RNA from 1 species
GAUGAAGAACGCAGUGAAAUGCGAUAACUAGUGUGAAUUGCAGAAUCCCGUGAACCAUCGAGUUUUUGAACGCAAGUUGCGCCCGAAGCCUUUUGGCCGAGGGCACGUCUGCCUGGGCGUCACGCAUCGCGUCGCCCCCCACAACUCUCCGUAAAGGGAACUUGUGUUUUGGGGGCGGAUAUUGGUCUCCCGUGCUCAUGGCGUGGUUGGUCGAAAUAGGAGUCCCUCCGGUGGACGCACGAACUAGUGGUGGUCGUAAAAACCCUCGUCUUUUGUUUCGUGCCGUUAGUCGCGAGGGAAACUCUUUAAAAACCCAAAUGUGUCGUCUCUUGACGGCGCUUCGACCGCGACCCCAGGUCAGGCGGGACUACCCGCUGAGUUUAAGCAUAUCAAUAAGCGGAGGA